AGCUUUGCGCAGUGGCAGUAUCGUAGCCAAUGAGGUUUAUCCGAGGCGCUAUUAUUGCUAAUUGAAAUAAAAAUAAUUCCU
rnacentral:snRNA from 1 species